rnacentral:rRNA from 1 species
AACGUAGGAGACAAACGUUAUCCGGAGUUACUGGGCGUAAAGGGCGUGUAGGCGGUUUGUUAAGUCUGGCGUGAAAGCUCUCGGCUAAACCGGGAGAGGUCGUUGGAUACUGUCGGGCUAGAGUACGGAAGAGGCGAGUGGAAUUCCUGGUGUAGCGGUGAAAUGCGCAGAUAUCAGGAGGAACACCGAUUGCGAAGGCAGCUCGCUGGGACGUCACUGACGCUGAGACGCGAAAGCGUGGGGAGCAAACAGG